AAAAAAUCCCUGACAAGGAAGAAUUCCCUGAAGUGGAAUAAUGACCACUGAGAUGAUACUUCAUUUCUGGCUCCUAGGGAAAAAUGUUUUUAAAUUUUAUUUUGAGAAGACCAAGAUAGUCUAAAGUUUAGAAUGUUGUAAUUUACUAUAGGGAGAGGGCACAAGAAACUAGGCCUCGAAAACAGAAAAUGAAAAGUCGAGCUGGGGGAAGAUUUUUAAAUACGUGGGUCAGAGGGACAGAGAGGAGAUGAGGCGAUCAAUCUUAGCCCUCUGACAGCUCCCUCCGAUUGCAUCAAAGAAUUUGGCUCUUCGGAAAAGCAGAGGGAACAGCCAAAAUUUCACAUCCCUUAAAAAGGCCUGGGGGUGGGGGUGGGGGUGCAAAAGAGAAAGGUGAUUCUGGGAGAGCUGGGAAACAGAUGGGAAAUGGGGACAGAGGGAAGGCGCUAAGUUGGGUGGAAAGUUUGCCUGGAGAACUCUCACAGCUCUGGCCUCCCCUCCCCCUCCUGUCUCUCUGCUGCCCAGCCAGGAGGAGAAGGCUGGUUAGCAAAGAAAUGGCAACCGAGCCCGGAGCUGGAACUAGAAACUUUCUGUCAAUGUUGUAUCUGCGUGGGUGGUGACCCAAUGGUGGUUGGGCUUCGGGUCACGUGACAACUUCUUUGUAGCUCCGGAAGAGGACUGUGAAGUUUAGGUUUCGUGGAAGAAACUGAGAAUUGAGGAAAAAAAAAAUCAAGAUUUGGGGGGAAUUACCUACGAAGAUGUAAGGUGCGUUAAUUUGGGCGCUUCUUGGAUUCUACCCUGAGGAGGAGGCGCAUGGUGAGAGGAGAGCUCCACCAGCUGUGCGCUCGUGUACGCGGUUCGCGCCCUCUUGGAUGCCGCCGACCCCGGGGGGCUCUUGUCCCCUCCCGUGCCGCCGCCGCUGCCGCCCCCGCCGCCACCACCGCCUCCGCCGCCGCUGCUGGCACCACCGCUGCCGCCGCCGCCACAGCCCUCUGCUGGAUCCGAGGGGGAGGGGUGGGAAGGGAGAAAAUGAAAUAAAAGAUAAUUACUGAACACACCGA